rnacentral:rRNA from 1 species
GAUGAACGCUGGCGGUAUGCUUAACACAUGCAAGUCGAACGAAAGCUUUAUGCUUUAGUGGCGAACGGGUGCGUAAUACGUGAGAAUCUGCCCUUAGGAGGAGAAUAACUUCUGGAAACGGUUGCUAAGUCUCCAUAUGCCGAGAGGUAAAAUAGUUUACACUGCCUAGGGAUGAGCUCACGCCUGAUUAGCUUGUUGGUAAGGUAAUGGCUUACCAAGG